AUCCAACUACAUAGUUAUUGUAUUAUGCCUUAACUUACUAGGAUUCGGUCAUGUGAUAAUGUCACUUGGUUCAUAUGUAAACACGAUUUGACUCUAUUUGAUUCCAAAUCAAUCUAUCAAAUAUAAACUUUUCUGGUUUUCUACACUUUAGCCAAUGUCUAAUCAACAUCACUUUUGUACAAUUUAUAGAUAAUUCACUAUUCCCAGAAAAUUAAUUCUCAUUUCUCUUUCUCUUCCAUACACAUUUUCUACUUUUCUAUCUUUCUCUUCCACCUUCACUAUUCUCUCCUGAUUCUUCAUCUCUCUCUUCCUCUCCUUCCUUCAUUCUCACAUAUAUCCCUUAUUCUAACCACCACUUUCUUCUUCUUUUCUUCUCAUUUUCUAUAACAUUUGACACAAACCCUAAAAAAAAUAAAGAACCACCACCACCACCUCUCUCACAUACUUCAUCUUCUUCACUCAUCGGUAAUUUCUCACUCUGUAACAUUCAUUUCAUGUUUUUCCAAACGUUUCUAUGUUUUUUCAUGUUAUAGCUGAUAUUUAUCGUUUGGUUCUGUUGUUGUUGAUUUUUGUUGUUGUUGUAGGUUUCGAGAAAUUAGAUCUGGUUGAUGUAAACUGUUUCAUCAACGUGUUGUUAAGAAGCUAUGUGGGUUAGUUACACCGUAACGAUAUUGUUUUGGGUUUUGUUUUAUUUUUUCUUUUGGGUUUCUGAUUUUUGAUACCUUGUACUUGGUAUAAGAAGUUAGAUCUAUAGUUUGAUUAUGUGAGAUAUGUUCAGUUGUGUGUUUUAUGUUUGGUUUUGGUUUUGUUUUUUGUUUUCCUCUUAUUUUGCAGCAAGUAUGUCUGAGAUUUGAAGUUGAAAAAUACCAGAAAAGUAUGUUAAAUGUAUACUACGUUUUAAUGGCUUACUUAGAUUAUAGAUAGUAGACUAACAAGUUUUAGCAUACAUACCUUAUAGGCUUUGGUGCAAUAGAAGAUUCAAAGUAUACAAGGUGUUUUUAAUUUAAGUUACUCAUUUUGCUGAUUGUUAUGAUUGAUUAAUAUGUCAGGAAGAAAUUGUGAAGAUUUAGGAGAUAUUUGAGCAAUAUUGGUAUAUCAUGUGUUGCACUGUAGUGAGUAUCUUCUUAUUGGUGUGUACUGAUAGCACUACUUGUCCUCUUAUUUUUAUUUUUUAUUUUGAAUGUUUAUGGUUGAUUUGUCAAUGGUAUGAAUUUUAUAAUGGCUUCUGUAAUCACUCAUCGUGAUGAAAAAAUGCUAUUGGUUAUCACCUAUGAAUCACCAUUUCAACUUGAAACACAUAAAAGCCACAACAUAGAUGUUCAUGUUUUGAGCUUAGCGUUUUUGUUGAUCUUUCUAGCUUAUGGAGUUGCUCAAAAUUUACAGAGCACUCUCAAUACUGUUAGUUUUCAUUUCUUUUAAUUCUGAUGUUGAAUUUUAAAGAUGGUGAGUAAUUGUGAUAAUUUAUUACUUUUUAUGAGGAGGAUUUGGGCACGACUUUUCUUGAUAUAAUUUAUUUUCUUCUUUGGUGGUGCGGAUUCUUGAAUCCGAGAAUGCUUUGAUUAUUGGAACUUAUGGUUAUUGGCUCUACGUGGCUGCGAAUUCCAAGCCCAACUGGUAACUGCAAGUGGGAGUUAUCUUGUUUAUGAUAUUCAUGUAUUAUUAUUUGUCAAUGGAACAAAUGUUCAUCAUGAAUGGGAGAUGAAAAACAGUUAGGUAUUCAUCAAGAAGAAGAAGAAGUUAGUUACAUUCAAGAGGAAGAAGAAAAAGAAAGUAUUGUUUCAUUGAUUAAUCAAUAAUGAUUACAACAUGGUUUAUAUAUACAAAAAAGUGAUAUGUAGUGUAAGCUAAGGUGUGUGCUCUGUACAAUAUAAUGUGUUAUUUCUAAUAUCCCCCCUCAAGGUGGAUUUUGGAUACUACAAAGACCAAGCUUGGAUAAAAGAGAAGUAAAGGUUGGUAGAGUGAGGACUGCCCCCACUUAUAAACACAUGUUCAUGCCAUAUAUUGUCCGAUGUGGGACUCUUAACACCCCCCUCAUGCCCAGGACUGGACAUCUGGAGCGUGGAAAUAAAUGGUGGAUGGCCCGAUAACGGAAACCAUAGUAGGUGGCCCACCGGAUCUUAAACCAGGCUCUGAUACCAUGUUAAGAAUGUGUGAUUUGGCCUAACUCAACCCUACAAAACCGGUUGGUAGAGUGAGGACUGCCCCCACUUAUAAACACAUGUUCAUGCCAUAUAUUGUCUGAUGUGGGACUCUUAACACACCCCCUCACGCCCAGGACUGGACAUCUGGAGCGUGGAAAUAAAUGGUGGAUGAUCCGAUAGCGGAAACCAUAGUAGGUGGCCCACCGAAUCUUAAACGAGACUCUGAUACCAUGUCAAUGGAACAAAUGCUCAUCAUGAAUGGGAGAUGAAAAACAGUUAGGUAUUCAUCAAGAAGAAGAAGAAGUUAGUUACAUUCAAGAGGAAAAAGAAAAAGAAAGUAUUGUUUCAUUGAUUAAUCAAUAAUGAUUACAACAUAGUUUAUAUAUACAAAAAAGUGUUAUGUAGUGUAAGCUAAGGUGUGUGUUCUGUACAAUAUAAUGUGGUAUUUCUAAUAUUAUUCUACUGUCAAAACCAUAAACAUGCACAGUGUUUGAUUUUGGUGACUUUAUCAUGAUUUUGUAUUAUAAAACAACUAUUAGUUACUAUUAUGGAUUUGUAUAGUAAAUAUUUCACUACUUUAGUUUUGCGCUUCCUUGAACAUUUCUUGAUUGAUAGGUAUCAUGAGAAAGAAAACAUGUUGUAAGUAAGGAGUGGUUUCUGAAAGUAUAUAUAUAUAAACAGCAAAGUAGAAAUACAAAAUAACAUUUCUCUGUUCUUAUGUAGCUUUUGAUUAGUUAAAUUUAAAUAGGGCAUUCUUUUAGUACACUAUAUGCCCCUAACUCAACAGUUUGAUUGAACUCUUAUUGAAUCUUAGGCAUACCAGAAAAUAGUGAAAAUAUCUAACUUCCACUACAUGCAGUAUAACAAUUUACAUGAAGGUGCAAUGGUUUGAGACUUCAACGGGGAAUAUUGGGGUGUUUAUGCGCUUCACCAGUUUCAAUUUAUUCCCUCUUAUAAAAUAAUUAUCUUAUUUGCAAAAAAAAAGCUAAAACAAUUGAUUUAUCCAAUAUAAGUUUCAAUAGUUUUUAUUUUUAAUCAUAUUAUUCUCUUUAUUGUGGUUUACCUUUAAUCUUCUACCUGUAUUACUAUUUCAACUUAAAUUUACUAUUAUUCUUAAGUUUUUUUUUCAACUUCCUAUUUUUAUGACAGUCUGCAAACAAAUGCACGUCCAAAACCAUAUUCCACCCAAAAAUGUACCCCGUGCGUAGGCACAGGUUUGUUACUAGUUUAUACAAAAGAUGUAUAAAAAAGCUUUGUAACUUAUUUCCAAAGUACAAGGUAAUGAAAAUAUCUCUGCAAAAAGUUUUAGAAGCUCUUGAUAUGUUGAUUCCUCUAUAUGAUCCCAAAGUAUAACCUAGUAGUGAAAAUGAUACAAAAUGUUUGAUCCCUAAUGAGGUAAAUAAGAAUUUACAAAUAACACAUAAGACUGCUUCAUAAAUUUCCCUAGACACCCUAGAUUCCAAUAUUAAAGGUUCAUAGCUAGUGGUUGAUGAUGAUAAUGACACGUAACUGCUAGACACCAUAGAUCCCAAUAUUAGAGGUUCAUAGCUAGUGGUGGAUGAUCUUAAUGACACACAAAAAUGCUAUAAAUCGAAGAGGAAGUCAAGUAUAAAAAUAUGAUAACCUUAUAUGACUUUCCAUAGCUAAAGGGUGAUAUAUUGAAUGACUAUCCAAACUCUUGAGUUCUACGAGGACUUAGUAUUUAACAUCCCAUUCGAUGAAGACUCUGGUAGCAAUAUGGCUGAGAUAGAUGCCCUUGGUAUUAUCUCUUUUGAAUUUAAGGGAAAUGAAGCCCAUCUGAGGGAAAUUGAAGGAGAUGUCUUUGUUGAAGAUACAUAGUGGGAUACCUAAACAAAUGGUAGACAAACUAAUUUUUAUUUAUUUGAGAAACCAAAUCAAGAUAUGGUUAAACAUUUAAAUCCAUUAUUCAUCAAAGCUUCAGUAAAAGUAAGAUGUUUAGUCGAGUCUUUGUUGAUGGCGGGGAUGUCUUAAGUGCUAUGCUACUUCUGACCUUGAAGAAGUUGGGUAAAAUAUGGAUGAAUUGAUCCCCGCGAAGAUGAAAAUGUUAGUUUCAUGGGUAUAUCAUCUAAUAUGAUUUUGCAUAUUUUACGAUGUAGUAGGUCUAAAAUAAUUAAGGUCAACCUUUUCAAAAGAUGAAAAAUAUUUCUUUCUCCUAUGCCAUUAUAGGAAUAUAUUGAAAUCAUACUAAUGAGUGUGUAUCCUCUACACUCUACCAAAUCAUAAGGUUUUAGGUACACGAUAAAUUAUGGACAAUUGGAGUUGAUAAGAGUCCAUUUAUAGUUGAAGUUUGGAUGUUAAAAGCUUUUUUCUUCUAGCCUCACUUAAUCCUUAUAGUAGUUUCAAAUGAGUAUGAAAAAGGAUCAUAAAAAGCAUGUAAUCUUACAGAUGCUAACAUCUCAGGCUAACUUACAUCCAUUUCAUGAGGUUCUCAAUGAAUAAUUCACUCGAUAGAGAUAAAGGACUUGUUGGAUUAGAAAGAUGCAAUGUAGCCAAGUCCAUUGUACUCAAUGUUGCAUUUUCAACAAAUGAAGUGAAGAUGAGCUAGAAGAACAAAAUAUUGAAGUAAUUAAGUAUAAAUAUCACAAGAAGGGGACUGAAUUAUGACAACGUUUUAACUUUCACACACACACACACAACUUCUAUAAAAACCAUUUGGAUCUCUCAGUUGUCUAAAAUAAACCACAUAUUUCUUUUCUAUAUAAUCUAAUAGUCAAAUUUAAUGAGGUAGUCUAUGUGACACUAAUGUGGAAUAAAAAUGAUUACAUGUAACUUAAUUUUUCCAAGGUGGAAACCACAUAUAUCUAACCUGUAUAAUCAUAAAACAAACACCAAGUUAUACAUUCCAUCAUUGUACAAGGUAACACUAGUGAUUUAAUAAAAUAUAUUAUUAUAGGAGACAAGAAGAAACAACACAAUGAAGACGACACGAAGGAAUGACCAAACAUAAGAAAGACAAGCACGAAUAAUUUGUGCUUCAUUACAGGUAAACAAAUUUUGAUUGUGACGAUGUUAUCGAAUUUAUGGUUUACUUUUAAAGACUUUUUAAUAUUUUAGGGUUUGAAAUAAGAUUAGGUUUAAAUUGUGAUUGUUAUGAAAUAAUGCGUUGAAAUGGUUUAU
rnacentral:lncRNA from 1 species